rnacentral:rRNA from 1 species
CUACGGGGGGCAGCAGUGAGGAAUAUUGCACAAUGGGGGGAACCCUGAUGCAGCAACGCCGCGUGGAGGAUGACGCAUUUCGGUGUGUAAACUCCUUUUAUAUGUCAAGAAAAUGACGGUAGCAUAUGAAUAAGCACCGGCUAACUCCGUGCCAGCAGGCCGCGGUAAUACGGAGGGUGCAAGCGUUACUCGGAAUCACUGGGCGGAAAGGACGCGUAGGCGGGUUGGAAAGUCAGGUGUGAAAUCCUACAGCUUAACUGUAGAACUGCACUUGAAACUUCUAAUCUAGAGUAUGGGAGGGGGAGAUGGAAUUAGUGGUGUAGGGGUAAAAUCCGUAGAUAUCACUAGGAAUACCUAAAGCGAAGGCGAUCUCCUGGAACAUUACUGACGCUAAGGCGUGAAAGCGUGGGGAGCAAACAGGAUUAGAUACCCUAGUAGUC